GCAGUGGUGGUUCAGUGUUAGAAUUCUUGCCCUUCAUGCAGGAGACCUGGAUUCAAUUCCUGGCCAAUGUA
rnacentral:tRNA from 1 species